rnacentral:rRNA from 1 species
CGCCUACGGGGGGCAGCAGUGGGGAAUAUUGGGCAAUGGGCGCAAGCCUUACCCAGCAAUACCGCGUGAGUGAAGAAGGUCUUCGGAUUGUAAAGCUCUUUGAUCAGGGACGAACAGAUGACGGUACCUGAAGAACAAGCCCCGGCUAAAUACGUGCCAGCAGCCGCGGUAAUACGUAUGGUGCAAGCGUUAUCCGGAUUUACUGGGUGUAAAGGGAGCGCAGGCGGCGCGUUAAGCCUGGUGUGAAAGCCCGCGGCCCAACCGCGGGACUGCAUUGGGAACUGGCGCGCUGGAGUGCCGGAGGG